rnacentral:rRNA from 1 species
GACGAACGCUGGCGGCGUGCCUAAUACAUGCAAGUCGAGCGAAGAAGUUUGGUGCUUGCUCCAAUGUCAAUAGCAGCGAACGGGUGAGUAACACGUGGAGAAUCUGCCUUUAAGCGUGGGACAACAUCGGGAAACGAGUGCUAAUACCGGAUAAUAACUUUAAACAUAUGGUUUAAUAUUGAAAGAUGCAAUUGCAUCACUCAAUGAUUGGCUCGCGUCGUAUUUGCUAGUUGGUGAAGGAAAGGGUUAACAAGGCGAUGGAACAUAGGCGACCUGAGAGGGUGGUCGGCCACAAUGGGAAUGAGACACGGCCCAAAAUCCUACGGGAGGGAGCAGGAGGGGAUCUUCCGCAAUGGACGAAAGUCUGACCGAGCAACGCCGCGGGAGGGGAGAAGGGUUUCGGAUCGUAAAACUCUGUUGGUAGGGAAGAAAGUUAGUGGGAGUGGAAAGCUCAUCAAGUGACGGUAACUACUCAGAAAGGGACGGCUAACUACGUG